rnacentral:rRNA from 1 species
AAUAAAAUGGGAGAGCUGAUUGAUUGGCAGUUUGACUGGGGCGGUCGUCUUUAAUAGAGUAGCAAAGUACAUCCAAAUAUAAAAUUAAAUAAAAAAUAUUUACUAUUAAUAAUAUUAAUGUGUAAAUAUUCUCACAAACAUCAUAUUGCUGUAAAUUUUUUAAUUUACUUUAACAUCAAUUUUUAUUUUUUGUUUUUAUAAGGUAUAGCUAGAAGUUGAAUGGAGAUCAAUUAACCAGUGAUAAGGUUAUGGAGGGUGUAAUGGCGGUAAGCAUGCUUAACUGAUAGACUUAAAAGUCGCACAGAUACGUAAGUAGGGCAUAGUGACCCCUCGCUAUAUUA